rnacentral:rRNA from 1 species
GAUGAACGCUGGCGGCGUGCCUAAUACAUGCAAGUCGAACGCUUCACUUCGGUGAAUAGUGGCGAACGGGUGAGUAAUACAUAAGUAACCUGGCAUCUACAGGGGGAUAACUGAUGGAAACGUCAGCUAAGACCGCAUAGGUGUAGAGAUCGCAUGAACUCUAUAUGAAAAGUGCUACGUGACUGGUAGAUGAUGGACUUAUGGCGCAUUAGCUUGUUGGUAGGGUAACGGCCUACCAAGGCGACGAUGCGUAGCCGACCUGAGAGGGUGACCGGCCACACUGGGACUGAGACACGGCCCAGACUCCUACGGGAGGCAGCAGUAGGGAAUUUUCGGCAAUGGGGGAAACCCUGACCGAGCAACGCCGCGUGAAGGAAGAAGUAAUUCGUUAUGUAAACUUCUGUCAUAGAGGAAGAACGGUGGAUAUAGGGAAUGAUAUCCAAGUGACGGUACUCUAUAAGAAAGCCACGGCUAACUACGUG